UCCUGGUUAGCUCAAUUGGUAGAGCGUUCCACUGGAAAUGGAGAGGCCCCUGAUUCGACACCGGGACCAGGCG
rnacentral:tRNA from 2 species